CAUGGAUGUUAUUGAUCAGAAAGUUCUGAAAGGAAAGCUUGAAACAAUGAAUGAAAUGAAGUUAUUUCGUGAUCGAUUGGGAAGUUUUGGAAGAGAACUUGCUUAUUCUUCACGUGAAGUACUUCAACCUAAUGAAUGGUGGAGGCUACAUGGAUACAAUGCACCACAUUUGCAAAAGUUAGUCAUUCUAAUAUUGAGCCAAACCGCAUCGUCUUCUGGAUGUGAAAGGAAUUAGAGUGUCUUUGAACGUAUACAUACCAAAAGAAGGAAUAGAUUGGAACAUCAAAGGCUUAAUGAUCUUGUAUACGUUCAUUAUAAUUUGCGCCUAAAAAAUUGGUUCUAUAACAAGAAAAGAAUCUAUGAUCCAAUUGACUAUGCAUGCAUUGAUGAGACCGAUUUUUGGGUAGUUGAUGAUGAUCAACCAGCAGAGUUAGAUGUUGAAGAAUUGGAAAAUCUUCUAUAUGAAGAAGGGUCAAUUCCAAUAAAUGAAGUGGAAGGUUCAAGUUCUCACAUUGAUGAUGAGGAUGGUGGUGACGUGGCUAUAGAAGGGCUUGAUGUGGAGAACUUUGGUUUUCCAAAUGCUCAUGUUCAAUCUCCAU